rnacentral:lncRNA from 1 species
CUUGAAUUCUUGAGAAAGACUCUUUAUUUCACGUUGAUCCAGUCCACUCAACUGGCAAAUAUGAGUUGUACCUGUAUUUCAAAGAGCCACCCCUGUCACAUUCUGUGUCACACUGAAGCCUCCUUUUUACACUUUUACUCUCUUACUGGUUUCAGUCAUCUGACUGCGGCCAUGCUGGAGUACCGCCUUUAGUCGAGCAAAUCGAUCCCAGGACUUAUGUUCACGCAAUUUUAUUAGUAUUAUCACGCGUUUGAGAAUAUAAAAUUUACUUCUGUAUAUUAUAUAUAUAUAUAGGGCUGGCUACGUGGUGGGAAGUUUGUUUCCCAACAGCACAUUCAGUUUCAUUGUAUGGUACCUUGGCCAAGUGUCUUCCACUGAAGCCUCGGAACAGACGGAAACUGUGUCUGUUUUCCCCCCAGCACUUGACAACCGGUGUAACUCUAGCUGUUCGGCAAAAGAGACCGAUAGGAUAUGUACUAGGCUUUAAAAUGGAAUAGGUACUGGGGUCGAUUCGCUCGACUAAAACUCUGGAAGGCGGUGUCCCAGGAUGGCCGCUGUCUAAUGACUGAAACAAGUAAAAGUUAUACACACACAUAUCAACAGCACCUAUCUCACAUCAGUAACACGUUUGCUAGCACAGUAGAAAGCGAUCAGCUGAACCAUUUUAUUGUUCUGGUGGACCACUAACUACCUAUUUCUUUACUACCCACAAGGGGCUAAACACAGAGAGGACAAACAAGGACAGACAAACGGAUUAAGUCGACUACAUCGACCCCAGUGCGUAACAGUUACUUAUUUAAUCGACCCCGAAAGGAUGAAAGGCAAAAAUCGACCUCGGCGGAAUUUGAACUCAGACCGUAGCGGCAGACGAAAUACCUAUUUCUUUACUAUCCACAAGGGGCUAAACACAGAGAGGACAAACAAGGACAGACAAACGGAUUAAGUCGACUAUAUCGACCCCAGUGCGUAACUGGUACUUAAUUUAUCGACCCCGAAAGGAUGAAAGGCAAAAUCGACGUCGGCGGAAUUUGAACUCAGAACGUAGCGGCAGACGAAAUACCACUAAGCAUUUCGCCCAGCGUGCUAACGUUUCUACCAGCUUGCCGCUUUGUGGACCACUAACUACCAUUAGCACAAUAUGGCCACGUUGACGGUGUAUGAUAUACAGUCAAGCUUUCAGCUAUUAUCGACUGGCUUUGAAAGACGAGUUGAAGAAAUAAGCCGUGGUAAAGUAAAGAUAUUUUUUAGUUUCGUGGCAUAUACCCAGGCGUUCGGCCCCUUCCACCGUGAUUGUUAUACAUACUUUACGUUGGUUCCUUUUCAGCUUGCCUGAAAACUUCGUUAAUUUUUACUCUCUUCCAUACCACCGCCUUUAUAUCAUUAAACAUGUCUGCAUGUCGAGGUAUAUUAUGAUUGGUAUUUAAUUCUCACUGCUAUUCCUUAGGACUCAAGUCUAGUUAUUUAUUACCCCCGUAACGUGGUGGCAAUGGAAAUCUUUCCUUCACGUCCAAAAUAGAAAACCGCUUGGAGUAGAUUUUACUUUUUUAUUUCACGUCAAAUGAUCACAUUGUUUUAUUAUUCUUUUUUUAUCAACCUUUUUCUUUUCUUUUCUCGUUCUUUAGAGUUUUCUCUCGAGAUAAACUUUAGUACAUUCAUUUCAAUAACCGUUUUAGAUUACAAGAAUAUCUAAUUUUGACGUCUACGAAGUUCCUGCCAAAAUCUUACCAUCUUUUAGCGUUAGGUAUUCUUUAAGCAGCUCAACUUAAUUUCUAACAUAAAAUAAAAAAAGAAAAUAGUUACAAACGCACGAAAUUCCCCAACAUUUACGCCUGUUUCGGACGUCUAGUGUUAUAUAAAUGUGUGUAAGAACGGAGGGGGGAAUAUAACCCAUGUUGAGAAAUUUUUUUUUUAAGCAUUUCUGUGUAACUCGUAAUAUUUUGUUAAUUAAAUAUACGAUAUUUAAUCCAUAAUGUUAGGCUUGUCUUUCAUUAAGGGUGAUACAUUUUAAGACUCGAGUAAAAUUGAGACGAGAUUUGUAGCCUUGUGCUCUGUAAGUAAAUGUAAUGAAGAUUUGUGCUGUAUAAGUGCUCUAUAUGUACGUGUGUUAGUGCUGUAUCUGUUAGCGCUGUAUACGGUAGUACAGUAUUGUUGGCAAUAUUUUAUGUUAUGAUGCGCAUUAAGUUAUUGUUUUAUUUGAUUUCGUUGUAGAAAUCAUUCCAAUUAUCACUGAUAAACUUUGCUCUUGAUUUUGUUUUCUCAUAACUCUCUUGAAAAUGACAUUUUGCAGAAACACAUUUUCGAGAGUGGAGGCUAUGUAAAGUUGAUGUUUUAAACAUAAAAAUCUGAAAAAUUUGUGGUGAAUGCUAAAGUUACGGAAAUUGGUGAUAAUAAAGUCGGGUGGGCAUGAACAGAGUAAUCACAAACUGAUCCUCGAAAUAUAUUUUUUCUAAAUUUUAUCAACGUAAUCAAUCUACACGCAUGAAAACAAAUUCUACAAAAUUUCAUUAAAAAAUAUUCAUUUUAUAGGAAGUAACUAGGAAGUAUUUUUUUAAAAUAGACAGCUGUAUGUUAUGUUAGUUUCUUUUUUGUCGAAUUGCUUGUAUGUGUGUGUGCACAUGCUGGUGUGUUUGUGAACACAGUCUUCCAUAAUCUCAAAUCAACACAAUGUUUUGUUUUCGAUUCUUUUUUGUGUUUUUGAAUAUAAAAGGUAUGAAAUUAUGUAAAAAUAUUCUCGUAAAAUCUACAAAAUUUCUAGUUGCAUCAUCCACUGCAAAUAUAAUUCUUUCACUUUCCUCAAUCUACGUUUGACAUUUUCGACUAUUUUUUUCUCCACCUGUCGCUUCAGUCUCUCUCUCUCAAACGUGACCUCCAACUACAACAUGUAGCCUUUUAUUAUGUGAUUCUCUAUUUGUCGAGCCGCUAGAGCGCAUAUUUUUACACAAGUUUCGUGAUUUUCAGAAAAUGAGUGACGCCGAUAUUACAUUUAUAUGCGUUUGUUUUUAAAUAACUGGAUGACGAUUCUACUUAGUUUUCGUUGCCUGUUACCAGUUUCCUGAUAUAUGCAGCUAUAAAGCACACACACAGAGGCGGCGAGCUGGCAGAACCGUUAGCACGUCGGGCGAAAUGCUUAGUGGUAUUUCGUCUGCCGUUACGUUCUGAGCUCAAAUUCCGCCGAGGUCAACUUUGCCUUUCAUCCUUUCGGGGUCGAUAAAUUAAGGAUCAGUUACGCACUGGGGUCAAUAUAAUCGACUUAAUUCGUUUGUCUGUCCUUGUUUGUCCCCUCUGUGUUUAGCCCCUUGUGGGUAGUAAAGAAACAUAUAAAGCACACACAAACAAACAAAUGGAACCACGCCUACACAAACGCAGACACACACAUGAAUUCUGGUAGUUUUACUAGUUACGGGAAAUUACCUGCAACCGCUGAUCGAAAACAUAGGCAACAUUCAGCUUGCACUUUGUUGGUCACGAUGACGAACAUUCUAGUUGAUCCGAUCAACGGAACAACCUGUUCAGGAAAUUAAUGCGUAAAGCGACUGAAUACUCCAUUGACAUGCAUACUCUUAAACAUAUUUAUCAGGUGCAGGAGUAGCUGUUUGGUAAGUAACUUGCCUACGAACCGCAUGGUUCCGGGUUCAGUCCCACUGUGUGGCAUCUUGGGCAAGUGUCUUCUGCUAUAGACCCGGGCCGGUUAAAGCCGCGUGAGUGGAUUUGGUAGACGGAAACUGAAAGAAGCCCGUCAUAUAUAUGUAUAUGUAUGUGUUUGUGUGUCUGUGUUUGUCCCCCUAGCAUUGCUUGACAACCGAUGCUGGUGUGUUUACGUCCCUGUCACUUAGCGGUUCGGCAAAAGAGACCGAUAGAAUAAGUACUGGGCUUACAAAGAAUAAGUCCCGGGGUCGAUUUGCUCGGCUAAAGGCGGUGCUCCAGCAUGGCCGCAGUCAAAUGACUGAAACAAGUAAAAGACUAAGAGUACAUUGCAGAAAAGUAAAUUACCGGCGAGCCAUGAGACUCAAACUCACAUCUCUGUGAUUAUGCGUCAAGCGCUUUACCAUUAAGCUAAACUGUCCAGUAACGAAUUCUUCUGCAAUUUUAGAACUUAUAAAUUAUAACUUAUAAGACUAACGUUAAAUUCAACUUACAAUGAAAAUAAACAAAGCUUGUUUUUAGGAACGUUGAGAUGUAUAUAUAUAUAUAUAUAUAUAUAUAUACAUAAAUACAUACUCGAUUGGCACAUCACUUUAUCGAUCGGGAGGGAGUGAAAGAUAAAAUAUUUUGACUUCAAUAGAAUUGAACCCAGAAAAUAAAGGGUAGUAAGAAACCAUUUUGUCCGACGCGUUAAUAAUUCUGCCGAUCCACUUCAAAUAAUUGUUUAUGAUUUAGAUAGAAGGUCAUUAAUUUUUGAGAGGAGGUAAUUUAUCGAUACUACCGACCCAAUACUUCCCUGUUCCUUUCUUUUAUCAAUACUGAAAUGAAAUGGUGAAAGGUAAAGCUUACUUCAGCUACAUUUGAAAUUGGAAUUUAAAUGAGCCGGAACAAAUUCUGUGAGACAUAUUUCCCUCCAAGCUAAAGGUUCUGCCAAUUCUCCCUUCUACAGAAGAAUAAAUCAUAAUUAAAAAAAAAAAGAAAAGAAAGAAUUGACUAUGAUAAAUGUACCCCUAUUUCGCCCUAAGUACGGAUCUUCGGGAAUUAAUUGAAAGUUAGAAAUUCAGUCUAUGUAGGCACAGGUAUGACAAGGAUGGUUAAGAAGAUCGUUUUGCAGCCAUGUAGUUUCGGGUUCAGUUUCAUCGCGCGGACACCUCAACCAGACAACUGUCUUCUACUGGGCCGACUAAUGACUUGUAAGUGAAUUUUGCUGGCGGAGGCUAUGUGGAAGCUCUCAGUACAUAUAAGAACACUCACUCACACACACACACACACACACACACACACACACACACACACACACACACACACACCCACACAUAUAUACGGUAAUAUCGGAAAUUACUUCCCAUGAUCUGUAUAUUUAUUUAUCCCAGUAUCCGGUAGAGUCUCAUGUGUCGUCGUGUAUUUGUAUCUAAGAUGGAGACGAAUAUCAACGUUUCCAUGUAAUAGGCUUGGUAAAUGUUGAGAGAUUUCUUUCUAUAUGAAAUCAUUGGCCUUGCUAACCCACAAAUAAAAAGUUCAUCGGAAAAUUUGACAAAGCUAUAACAAACGGAAAAUUUGACAAAAUCAUAACAAACGGAAAAUUCGUAGCUCAUUCCUCAUUAGUCAACUUUCGAGAAAUCAUAACGAUUUCGGCUCUUAUAGUUAAAGUUACUUUUAUCCUACCUGAAUUUAAUUCAUUAUUGUUGUGUUUUCUGGUCCCAGGUUACUCCGAUCAAGUAAGCCUGUGAUCAGAAGCGUUCCAUUUGUAACUAUCAGACUGGUCAUAUUGUAUCGAUCUCGACAUUAUUCUAUGUGCUCUUCCUUUAAGGGGGAUUUGACUAUUUCGUAUCAGGUGAGAAAACUGCGUUAAGGCUCUUUCGCUUGAUUGUGGAUUGGACAAAGUUAAUAAAUCAGAGGUGGACAUUCUUGUAGAACCAAAGUGCCGCAUAAACACAGAUAUUUUGUUUCUCUUUAAAAUAUUGCCUUCACUAUUGAGUUAAAAAUUACUGCAGGUUCCAUUGUCUGUCUUUUAUGCGAAUCUAGCCUUUUUUCUUCUAUAUUUAUAUGGUAUAUAAGUUUCAGACUGGUGGUUAGUGUGUGUGUGAGUGAGUGUGUGCGUGCGCACGUCUGAAGCACCAAAAUGUACAGACGUCAAAACAACUGAAUAUCCAGUCGUUCGUGCCAAAUCGCCAGCGUCCAAACAGCUGCGCCCAUUUGUCUCAUUCCGAUCAAAUGCUGGACUCAUUACUCCAUCAAGGGUGGAAACUGUUGGAUUUUCAAACAGAACCAUUUCAAACAACUACUGUUGGGUCAUCAAAGAUUAGACAAUAGAUAAAUUUAUCAUCUAAAAAUGCAUUGGCAAAAAAAUGUCGGGCUGUCUUAUUCUAGGCUGUAAAAAACAUUCAACUGUUAAAAUGUGAAAUGAAUUCUUUGUUGUAAUCUUUUUGAGGUUAUUCGAACCUUUGAUAAUUUUUAAUCGAUAAUUCUUUAUUGUUGUUAAAACAAUAACAUAAAAACAUUUUAUAUCCAUUUUUUUAUAUUUCUUUUCAAAAAGAGAAAUGACACAUCACAUAAGUAGUUCUAGAUAGAAAGAUUUGAAACAAGGCAGAAAAGUCUUGAAGUCUUCAGAUCGUAGAUUCACUGGAGCCAUUUUGGUCUGAAACUAUACAACUACAACAAUAACAACAGCUACAAUGUCGAACACAGACUCCAUCAAAUACACACACACACACACAUACACACAAAUAAUAUCGUCUCGAUAUUUAUUUCAUGUGCAUAUAUCUUUUUCUUUUCUUUUUUUUUAAUUAACAUAUUUAACUGUUUCAUUACUUGAGAAUCAAUUUUGCAUCACUUCUUUGCACUCGCAAAAUGUGAAUCUUUCACUUCAUCGAUGAUAAAAAGAAAACGAAAAAUGGCGUCUGAUCUUUAAACACUAAAGAUGUGAUCAAUGGCUGCAAUGGUUGAUGUGUAUGCAUGUAUGUAUGUAUGUUUCUUUGUUUGUUUGUAUACAUGCAUGUACGUACGCACAUAUAUAUAUAAUAUAAAUAUAUACAUAUAUAUAUAAUAUAAAUAAUAUAUAAAUAUAUACAUAUAUACAUACAUAUAUGUAUAUACCCAUACAUAUAUGUAUAUAUACAAGCAUAUAUGGGUACAGGGCAUCUAAAAAAAAUGUUGAACACAAUGAGAAUGAAAACAUAAAAACAAAAGCAUAGAAACGGAUUUUUUUUGGGGGGUGGAAUAUCGAAAAAAAAAAUCAAACAGAGAAACGAGACACGCAACAUAAAGAAUAUUCCACUCCUUCAGUUGUCCCUGUUUGAUCUACUCCGCGUUUUCGAAGGCAAGGACAAUACGCGACUUCGUUGAAACAAUCCUUUCCGCAAAGCAAAUUAAAUAAAAUUUGGGAUUUUUUGCAGAGGAUGAAAGUGGUAGCAAGAACAGGACAGUGAGAACGAAACAGUAAAAACAAACGGUGAGGGCUGGUAAGUCAAGAGGAUAGAAAAAUUAUUAUGAACGCUAGGAAGACGAGCUUACACACACACACACACACACACACACACACACACACACACACACACACACACACACACACACACACACACACAAAUAUAUAUAUAUAUAUAUAUAUAUAUAUAUAUAUAUAUACACAUACAUAUAUAUAUUUGAUGUUGUUGUUGCCGUUGAUAGCGUCUCGAAAAAAUGUUUGACAGCAUGCCAACUUAGUUCUGAGUUUAAAUUCCGCCGAGGUGAACUUUUCCUUUCAUCCUUUCGAGUUCAUAAAAGAAGUACCAGUUAAGUAAUGGAGUUAACGUAAUUGACUAUCCACCCCCAGAUCAUUGGCUUUGAGACUAUAGAAACCAUGUUUGUUACUGUUGUUGAUGAUACUGAACUCAAGAUCAAACCGGAUCAAGCCCAUCUGCGGUCAGAGAUGUUCCAUCUAUGACUGCCCCGGUAUUUAAUAAGCUACUAUUUCAAAGCGGCGUGUUGGCAGAAUCGUUAGCAUGCCAGGCGAAAUGCUUAGUGAUAUUUCGUCUGCCGUUACGUUCUGAGUUCAAAUUCCGCCGAGGUCGACUUUGCCUUUCAUCCUUUCGGGGUCGAUUAAAUAAGUACCAGUUACGCACUGGGGUCGAUAUAAUCGACUUAAUCCGUUUGUUUGUCCUUGUUUAUGCUCUCUGUGUUUUAGCCCCUUGUGGGUAGUAAAGAAAUAGGUAUUUAAUCAGCUACAAUGUAUCCAAGGUUACCAAAUGUGUCGCAGAUUUUUAUUGGUCAAAGGUAGUCAUUUGAUUGAAUAAUUUUUUACUCCUUUACUUGUUUCAGUCAUUUGACUGCAGUCACUCUGAAGCCACCGACUUGAAGGGUUUUAGUCAAAAAAACCGACUCCGUGAUUUUUUUUUAAGCCGAGUACUUAUUUUACUGGUCUCGCCAACACCGGUUGUCAGGCGGUGACACAAAGACACACAUGCACGCGCACACACACAUACGACGAGCUUCUUUUCAGUUUCCAUUUCCAUUCACAAGCCUUCUGUCAGCUCGAGGCUAUAGUAGAAAGCACUUUCCCCAGGUGUCACGCUGUGGGACUGAACCCGGAACGAUGUGGUUGGGAAGUAGUGUGACUGGUGACGUAAGAACAACUACUCAAUGAUGCUCAUUGAUUUGAUUGGUUGUAGAUUUGAGUCAUUAAGUCUUAGACUCUCGGAGUCUAAAAGUUGUCCAAGUGAAACAUCCUCAGGUUAUAACAAUUUACAUCGAUCAUAUUUCUGACUUCGAAUUAAAUGUCUGAAGCACCAAAAUAUACAGACGUCAAAACAACUGUGCACCAAAAUGUACAGACGUCAAAAAUUAUUUUCCGAAUUGUUUUCUUAUCAAUAAGACUAAAGCUAGCUAGGGCAUCGUUAUAUAGUGUAAGCUCUGUUAGUGGUGCCUGUCCAGUGAUAGUUAAGAGAAGUGUUAUGUAAAUAUCGUCAUAGUAGAUUCCUUUUGGACACCUUUAAGGAACCUAUUCCAGGCCUAUUCACUCUAAUACAUAACCAUCAUAAGUCUGAAUUAAAUAGUCUCCUUUCCACCAAGUCCAACCAAAAAUGCUUUUGAUGUGACACUUAUUCAACCACGCAACACGCCUUGACAAAUGACAUUCGGCCAACCUUAUGCGUUACACACGCGGUUUCAUUGAUCACAUAUUUUCCGACAGAUUGCAUGAAUAACGUGUGUGAAACUCCGAGUAAAAAUAAAGUGAAUCGAUAUUUUAUUCCCUCUAAGCUAUUGAGUGCUUUCUUUCUUCUUUGUCGACACAAACGUAUUUAUAUUUAUAUUGUGUAUGUAUGUCGCCGGAAGUCUAUACUGUGCGGCCUUCUUAUUUUCCUCCAUCUGUGCAAUGGCUUAGAAUUGUGUUGGGGAGAGAUAGAGGAUUCGCGCAGAAACAUGUGCAUCUAUGCUUACAUACGUACAAAUAGACAAGUACAAAUAGACAUAAACACACACACACACUGAUAUGCAUUACUGAGAAAGUGUAUCUUUCUUAGCGGACGGAUGACAAUGAAGUUUCGGAGAUGCCCUCUAUACAAAGAGAAAAAAUCUUUUUUAAUAAUAACACUACUGUUCUUCAUAAAACCCGGAAUUUCAUCCGUAAAGCAGAGACUUUACUGUACUUACUACAGCUGUGUCAAGACUAUACAUGGUUUGACGCCAAUGACCAGCUGAUAAUAAUUUGACAGGAUAUCAGAUGCAUCCAACUGCCAAUAAAUAUAUUAUUUUAAACAUACGGCUGGGAACAUUAUUGUAUACGACAGUAUAAGAAUAACAACACAUUUGGAAAACAGUCAGUGUUCAGCCAUAGUAGACUUAGUUUAUAUUGUUAAGGAAAGUGAUUUUUUUUGUUUUUGUUUUUGUUUUUACUUUUUUAGUGAUUCAUUUAUUUAUUUAUUCUUUCAACUGUGAAGCGAAUUUCGUUUCUGUGAAGGUUCUUUUGCGUGCACCAUUUGUACGACGUAAACACCUGUCUGGAUGGUUUAAUUCAUGGCGUUCUCUUAAGCUUUCUUUGUGUGUGUGUGUGUGUGUGUGUGUGUUUAUGUCCCCGUAACUUAACGUUUCGGCAAAAAAGAAGCCGAUAGAAUAAGGAUCAGGUUUAAAAAUAUAUACUAGAACCGAUUCAUUCGAUUAAAAUACCUCUAGACAGUGACCCAGCAUGGCCGCAGUCUAAUAACUGGAACAAGUAAGAAAUGAAACAAGCAGAAUAUUAUGCUAUUAGUAUAUAAUACUAGCUAUAUGGCUAUACAAGUGUACAUCAGUAUUUGGGUAAUACUAGUUAUAUGGUUGUGUGUGUGCGUGUGCCUGUGCGUGCGUGUGUGUGUGCGCGUGUGUUUAUAUAGAUAUUAGUAUGUGUAGUCCUGGCUGUAUGACAAGCAGGCUGGUAGAUUCUGCUGUGCCUAUGAAAGCAGUCAGUGUACAAAAAGGAAUGAGACAAGUGUUUAUCUAUGCCAACAGUGGCAUUUCUUUUGUGUCCCAUGUCAGGUUUAUAUGUAUUGGUUGCAGUUUAUUCUGUCUAUAAGCUACAUUAGCGCACACAGCCACGAUUUAUAUUUAACAAGAUAUCGACUAUACAAGGAAAAAAAAAAGCAACAGAAAGAAUUAAAGCAAAAGUGAAAAAGAAAAAAAAUGAUGGUUGAAGAGGUUGAAAGCCAACAAUAAGACUACCAUAAAUCUAUAGAGACAUGUACUUCCAUGUAUAUUUUUGUCUAAGUAUAUUGUGGUGUAUUUAAAGCCAUCGUCUUAUCCUUGAGUAUCAGAACACGUGUGUGGAAUGAUCUUUUGUCUGAUACAAGGCUUUCAAAAUCGGUCUAAUAUAUUUCCGAACUAAUACAUUAAUGGGUCAUAAGAUGUAAUGUAAUAUAAUAUAAAAUAAUAUACUAUAGGCGCAGGAGUGGCUGUGUGGUAAGUAGCCUGUCUACCAACCACAUGGUUCCGGGUUCAGUCCCACUGCGUGACACCUUGGGCAAGCGUCUUCAACUAUAGCCUCGGGCCGACCAAAGCCUUGUGAGUGGAUUUGGUAGACGGAAACUGAAAGAAGCCCGUCGUAUAUAUAUAUAUAUAUAUAUAUAUAUAUAUAUAUAUAUAUAUAUAUAUAUAUAUAUAUGUUUGUGUGUCUGUGUUUGUCCCCCUAGCAUUGCUUGACAACCGAUGCUGGUGUGUUUAUGUCCCCGUUACUUAGCGGUUCGGCAAAAGAGACCGAUAGAAUAAGUACUGGGCUUACAAAAGAAUAAGUUCCGGGGUCGUGUUGCUCGACUAAAGGCGGUGCUCCAGCAUGGCCGCAGUCAAAUGAACGAAAACAAGUAAAAGAGUAAAGAGAAAAAGAGAGAAUAUAUUAUCAGUCGUUAUCUUACUCGCCAACUCGCUUUCCUUUCUACUCAGCAAGACACCUAUAUCUCUCCUCUCUUCGCCUUAAACCUCUCAACAAACACAAAGCCACACUCCCUCAAUACUACUCUCCCCUGCCAGUUGAGAUUUCUGUCUUGCUAGGUACUUGGUAACCCUGUAGAUGCUGGUGUCACGUAAAAAGCGCUGAUGCUGGUGCCACGGGAAAAAAGUGCUGGUGCUGGUGUCACGUAAAAAAAGCAUUGGGGUUGGUGCCACAUAGAAAAGCGCACAGUAUACUCUGUAAAGUGGUUGGCGUUACAAAAGGCAUCAGGUCGUAGAAACCAUGCUAUAACAGACAAUGGAACCUGGUACGGCUCCUGGCCUUGCUAGUUCCUUUCAAACAAACUCAUGCCAGCAUGGAAAACGGACGUUAAAUGAUGAUGAUGAUGAUGAUGGUGGUGGUGGUGGUGAUGGUGAUGGUGAUGGUGAUGAUGAUGAUGAUGAAACAGCUACAACACAUUUUUGCCAGCUGAGUGGAUUGGAGCAACGUAAAAUAAAGUGUUUUGCUGAAGGACAUAACACACCACCAAGAAUCGAACUCACAACCUUACGAUCUUGAUCCGAAUACUCUAACCACUUAAUCACCUACCUUCGGAAGUAGUCGGUGGGAAUAAGCUAUAACCUCUACAACUCGUUCAAUACAUGUUGUAGAGUAUAUCUUUUUCUCUCAUUCGAUCGAAGAAUUUGAUGCAAAACUGUUUCUUUGAAAUUUGUAUCGUUCGAUUAUGGUGAAGUUGUGUGUGUCGCUAUCAGAUGAUGUUUUCAAGGAAAAAUUGCAAGUCUAGCAUGUGAUGUUAGGGUUGCGCAUGGAUGCCUCCUAUGUGUUGAAGACUUCAGAAUACUGGUGAUUGAUAUAUCUAUAAAUGCGUGAGUUUUGUUAGAAGUAAUAGCGAUUUCAUUAAUGUUCGGAGGAAAGAUUUGGAGUACAUUUGAUAGGCUGUGGAGGGAAGACAGACGUGCCAGUGCGUGGUACAAUGGAACAUAGAAGGGCAAUGUCGCUAGUUAGUUGCCAUCCCAGACUCACUCGAACGUAUUACUGAUGUUAAGUGAGAGAAACCAAUGACGCGUAGAGUAAGAGAGUAUUCAUGGUUGGUUGGUUAUCACUGAGGUUGGUUAUCACCUUGGAGCGGUAAAGGAGCUGAUUAUUUAUAAAUCAUCUCCACGACCUUUAAGAUAUUAUUUGGAAGUGAGGAGGAGACAAUGGUAGUUGACAGGAACAGACACAUCAGUGUCCUGGGAACGAAGCAAAAUUUUGUUUCAGAUUGGGAUAGGUCCCUGUUGAGGGAGAAAUAUCGAAGAAUUUGAUAAGGAAAGGCACUUAGCUUUCGAGUACGCAUUUUCAGGAUAAUGCCAGAGACAGUGUUAGAACUGGUGGCUUUGUUAGGCUGGAGUAUUCAUAGUUGAUUUCCUAGACGUCUUUUGAAAACUCCCUAUGCAAGUCAAAAACAGGACUGAAGAUACUUCAUCUA